rnacentral:rRNA from 1 species
GACGGAGGGUGCUAGCGUUGUUCGGAAUUACUGGGCGUAAAGCGCACGUAGGCGGACCGGAAAGUCAGAGGUGAAAUCCCAGGGCUCAACCCUGGAACUGCCUUUGAAACUCCCGGUCUUGAGGUCGAGAGAGGUGAGUGGAAUUCCGAGUGUAGAGGUGAAAUUCGUAGAUAUUCGGAGGAACACCAGUGGCGAAGGCGGCUCACUGGCUCGAUACUGACGCUGAGGUGCGAAAGCGUGGGGAGCAAACAGG